rnacentral:rRNA from 1 species
CGCAGCCGCGGUAAUUCCAGCUCCAAUAGCGUAUAUUAAAGUUGUUGCAGUUAAAAAGCUCGUAGUUGAAUUUCGGGAUCAAGUCGUCGGUCGUGCCUCGGUACGCACUGGUGACAUUGGUUUCUCCCUUCUGAAGAACCUUGAUGUCAUUAAUUUGGUGUCUUGGGGAAUCAGGACUGUUACUUUGAAAAAAUUAGAGUGUUUAAAGCAGGCUCACGCUUGAAUACAUUAGCAUGGAAUAAUGAAAUAGGACGUUUGAUUCUAUUUUGUUGGUUUCUAGGAUCGACGUAAUGAUUAAUAGGGAUAGUUGGGGGCAUUAGUAUUCAAUUGUCAGAGGUGAAAUUCUUGGAUUUAUUGAAGACUAACUACUGCGAAAGCAUUUGCCAAGGAUGUUUUCAUUAAUCAAGAACGAAAGUUAGGGGAUCGAAGACGAUCAGAUACCGUCGUAGUCUUAACCAUAAACUAUGCCGACUAGGGAUCGGAUGAUGUUAAUUUUUAAUGUACUCAUUCGGCGCCUUAC